UGGCUCAAUCGGUAGAGCGCUUGACUAUCAGUCUGGCGGUCGCUGGUUCGAGUCCGGU
rfam:Ancylostoma ceylanicum strain HY135 Acey_s0024_scaf, whole genome shotgun sequence.